CUACGGGAGGCUCCAGUGGGGAAUAUUGCACAAUGGGGGAAACCCUGAUGCAGCCAUGCCGCGUGUAUGAAGAAGGCCUUCGGGUUGUAAAGCACUUUCAGCAGUGAGGAAGGGUGAUAAAUUAAUACUUUAUCAUUUUGACGUUAGCUGCAGAAGAAGCACCGGCUAACUCCGUGCCAGCAGCCGCGGUAAUACGGAGGGUGCGAGCGUUAAUCGGAAUUACUGGGCGUAAAGCGCAUGCAGGUGGUCUGUUAAGUCAGAUGUGAAAGCCCGGGGCUUAACCUCGGAAUCGCAUUUGAGACUGGCAGGCUAGAGUACUGUAGAGGGGGGUAGAAUUUCAGGUGUAGCGGUGAAAUGCGUAGAGAUCUGAAGGAAUACCGGUGGCGAAGGCGGCCCCCUGGACAGAUACUGACACUCAGAUGCGAAAGCGUGGGGAGCAAACAGGAUUAGAUACCCGCGUAGUC
rnacentral:rRNA from 1 species